rnacentral:rRNA from 1 species
GACAGAGGUGCCGAGCGUUAGGCGGAAUCACUGGGCUUAAAGCGUGUGUAGGCGGAUCUGUAAGUACCUUGUGAAAUCCCACGGCUCAACCGUGGAACUGCUUGGUAUACUGCGGGUCUUGAGCCACCUAGGGGCAAGUGGAACAAACGGUGGAGCGGUGAAAUGCGUAGAUAUCGUUUGGAACGCCAGAGUGGAACAUGAAUGAGUC